rfam:Glossina pallidipes unplaced genomic scaffold Scaffold41, whole genome shotgun sequence.
CGGAAAAUUAAAUCCAUAACUUUGGGCAAGGAUUGGCUCUGAAGUUUUAGAUAGUCGGACAUGUUUGGGAGGCAAUAAUAUGGUUUAUGUACUCGGUCUGGGUAAAUAGAGAGAUUUACUAAUAACAAUUAUGUAACUAAUUGUGGAAGUUUCUUGCUGAAAUUUUUAAGAAAUUAUCGCAACAUAUAUCUUUUUUAAAUCAUAACGAUUAUCAAUUCAGAACUGGCGUGUACUUGGAGAAUACGACUCUCCACUUAAAAGAAAGCGUUGUGAUGGCACUAACGGGUGUUGACACUAUGUAAUUUCUGCCCAAUGCUUUGAAUAAAGUGCAGAAACUCAAGUAACCGCGAGAAACGACGGAAAAAAGUAUGCGAUGAAUAUAUUAUCUCUCAGGUCUAGUGGUUAUUGUCUUAAACGAAGUUUCGAGGUUUCUAUUA